rnacentral:rRNA from 1 species
UACGUAGGGGGCAAGCGUUGUCCGGAUUCAUUGGGCGUAAAGAGCUCGUAGGCGGCUUGGCAAGUCGGGUGUGAAACCUCCAGGCUCAACCUGGAGACGCCACCCGAUACUGCCAUGGCUAGAGUCCGGUAGGGGACCACGGAAUUCCUGGUGUAGCGGUGAAAUGCACAGAUAUCAGGAGGAACACCGAUGGCGAAGGCAGGUCUCUGGGCCACUACUGACGCUGAGAAGCGAAAGCAUGGGGAGCGAACAGG